AAACCAUGCACACUUUUAAACAUGGGACCCAAAGGCCUUUUUCAUAUGCGGCUGCGUGUGGGUUUCGUUCGUCUGGAUCUGAGCUCUCUGGAAAUACUAUUCCUUGAAGAACCAGCAGAAAUGAAGUUGAUGUCAUUUCGGAAAGUACCGCUUUAGAGAGACAGCGUAUCUGAGAGUGAAAGGAAAUGAAACAGUGGCCUUUACCCUUGGAUAACUGCAGGUAAAUCUGCUAACUGUAUUGGCAUGCAUCUGACUUUUUUCUGCUUCGCUGCUUAGACCAGGCCAAGA
rnacentral:lncRNA from 1 species